rnacentral:rRNA from 1 species
GAGGAUCAUUACUGAGUUUACGCUCUAUAACCCUUUGUGAACAUACCUAUAACUGUUGCUUCGGCGGGUAGGGUCUCCGCGACCCUCCCGGCCUCCCGCCUCCGGGCGGGUCGGCGCCCGCCGGAGGAUAACCAAACUCUGAUUUAACGACGUUUCUUCUGAGUGGUACAAGCAAAUAAUCAAAACUUUUAACAACGGAUCUCUUGGUUCUGGCAUCGAUGAAGAACGCAGCGAAAUGCGAUAAGUAAUGUGAAUUGCAGAAUUCAGUGAAUCAUCGAAUCUUUGAACGCACAUUGCGCCCGCCAGCAUUCUGGCGGGCAUGCCUGUUCGAGCGUCAUUUCAACCCUCAAGCUCUGCUUGGUGUUGGGGCCCUACAGCUGAUGUAGGCCCUCAAAGGUAGUGGCGGACCCUCCCGGAGCCUCCUUUGCGUAGUAACUUUACGUCUCGCACUGGGAUCCGGAGGGACUCUUGCCGUAAAACCCCCCAAUUUUCCAAAGGUUGACCUCGGAUCAGGUAGGAAUACCCGCUGAACUUAAGCAUAUC